UACGAAGGGGGGCUAGCGUUGUUCGGAAUCACUGGGCGUAAAGCGCGCGUAGGCGGAUUGUUAAGUCAGGGGUGAAAUGCCGAGGCUCAACCUCGGAACUGCCUUUGAUACUGGCAAUCUUGAGUCCGGGAGAGGUUAGUGGAACUCCUAGUGUAGAGGUGAAAUUCGUAGAUAUUAGGAAGAACACCAGUGGCGAAGGCGGCUCACUGGCCCGGAACUGACGCUGAUGUGCGAAAGCGUGGGGAGCAAACAGG
rnacentral:rRNA from 1 species